CCUACGUGAGGCUGCAGUGAGGAAUAUUGGUCAAUGGACGAGAGUCUGAACCAGCCAAGUAGCGUGAAGGAUGACUGCCCUAUGGGUUGUAAACUUCUUUUAUAAAGGAAUAAAACGAGGCACGUGUGCCUUUUUGCAUGUACUUUAUGAAUAAGGAUCGGCUAACUCCGUGUCAGCAGCCGCGGUAAUACGGAGGAUCCGAGCGUUAUCCGGAUUUAUUGGGUUUAAAGGGAGCGUAGAUGGGUUGUUAAGUCAGUUGUGAAAGUUUGCGGCUCAACCGUAAAAUUGCAAUUGAUACUGGCAGUCUUGAGUACAGUUGAGGUAGGCGGAAUUCGUGGUGUAGCGGUGAAAUGCUUAGAUAUCACGAAGAACCCCGAUUGCGAAGGCAGCUUACUAAACUGUGACUGACAUUGAUGCUCGAAAGUGUGGGUAUCAAACAGGAUUAGAUACCCCUGUAGUC
rnacentral:rRNA from 1 species